UUUCAUUGUUUACAUCGAUUUCUCCUCCACAAUUACUUUGAGACUGCUUUGAUCAACAAUCUGGCAUAUUCAUCUCCAUUAAUCUCUGCUUCUCCUCAAAUUUCUCUUUGUUGUUGGUGCAUUCAUUAGCUACAGCUUUCCACAGUCAGGUUUGUCUACCUCAGAUACCAUACCAGGAAGUACAACCUUUAUCAACAGACAUGUCACCGGAGAGAAAGCAUUUAUUUUUAUCCGAGCUAAGAGAAAAAAGGGCUGAGUCGAAAAAACAAAAACUCCUUCAUCAAUCAAAUACUACUGGAGCUCUUACAAUCAGCACUUCUUUGUUAUCUCCUCAGGAAGUUAUAUAUUCUUGCUCAUGAAGGAGAGCAUACACAGAGUGGAUAACAUUAUCAUAGAAAGAAAAUGACUCUCACUACUCAUGGAAUUUCACACUGAUCAUUAUACUUUAAUGUGGCUGGAUAAAUCUCUUUUGUUCGGUAUGAUUGCUCAUCGUUUAAAAAGCUUCUGAUUUAGAUGAACACUGAAUUGAUAGUACCUAAGAGAUUGUCCUGGUCUAUUGACAUUUGGAAGUGAAAUCUCACAAAAAGCUAGAAGUUUUGUUACAGAUGUGGAUCUUGAAAUUCUGUUACAACCAAAUAAUUCAUCUAUGCUUAUUAUUAGUUCCAAUAGUUGGGAGAUGAUUCAAGGCGCUAAUGAAGUUGAACGGUGGACUUAGGUAAAUAGGCAUUUUUUUUCCGGGAUAUCUUUUUUUUUUCAUAUAGUAUUUUUCCCAAACAAUUGAUUAAUCUUUAUAUGUUAAAGCCUUCUGCUUUGAGGUGAUUUAAUUUUCCCGUGGGAUAUGAUAUCAUAACUUCCACGAGAAUGUUUAGAAGCAAUUUGAGUUGCCAAAUUGUUUGGUGCUUUUAUGAAAUUAGCAGUGAUAUCGAGGACUGAAAUUUCAGAGUAAGCUUUCAAUAUUGAUUGUUUUGUUGUUAACUUUUCUGCUAUCAAUGUGUUGAAGAAAAUCGUAGGCCUCAUUUGAGACGGUUGGGAUUGUCUGAAGCUGAUGAAAGUCAUCCAUGUAAACCUCAGACUAGCUUUGAAAGCAAUUGUCCGACAAAGAAAGAGAAAAUUAAUGGUCCAGAGGUAAUGCAACGUUUUAUGGACUUCCUGAGAAGUCACUAGAUGAGCCAGUCAAUGAUGGACUAAGAGCAUAUCUCAAAGGAGACAAAGGGAAUGGGGCUUCAUGAACAUGGCUUUAUAAAUUGGAGGUGGUUCAAAUCGUUUAUCUUUGUUGAAACAAGUGAAUUAUGUGUUUAUGUUGAACAUGAUCAUGCGGAAUAUCAUUGCAGAGAAUACAUAAAGAGAUUCAAUUGCUAAUUAUGGAAGUUGGAGUCUUAAGAGUAUUCUUGAGAAUUACGAGGCAUAUGAUAGCAUUUAAAUUGUUGAAAAUGUUGAAAGGGAUACGUUAGUUCAUAGGCUUAGUUCAUUAGUUGAAGAAAUUGUUCACCUUCUAGACAUAAGUUAUUCACAAUUAUUUGUGUAAAACACUUGACGUUUGUUUGAGUCUCAAGUGUUCGACUUUGUGUGUUUUUUGGAAUUUUACUUUUGGUUACAGUACAAGGUUUGUUAAAUAUGUAAUUAUAUAUUUUGGUGUUUAAA